GAUGAACGCUGGCGGCGUGCCUAAUACAUGCAAGUCGAGCGAACAGACGAGGAGCUUGCUCCUCUGACGUUAGCGGCGGACGGGUGAGUAACACGUGUAUAACCUACCUAUAAGACUGGGAUAACUUCGGGAAACCGGAUCUUAUACCGGAGAAUCUAUUGAACCGCGGGGUUCAAUAGUGAGAGACGGUUUUUCUGUCACUUAUAGAUGGAUCCGCGCCGCAUUAGCGAGUUGGUAAGUUAACGGCUUACCAAGGCAACGAUGCGUAGCCGACGGCAGGGGGGGAUCGGCGACACGGGACGUGGACCAGCGUCAAGACUCCUACGGGAGGACGCAGUAGGGAACUUUCGGCAGUGGGGGAAAGCCUGACGGAGCAAGGCGGCGUGAGUGAUGACGGUGUUCGGAUCGUAAAACCCUGUUAUUAGGGAAGAACAAAUGUGUACGUAAAUAUGCACGUCUUGACGGUACCUAAUAAGAAAGCCACGGCUAACUACGUG
rnacentral:rRNA from 1 species